CACGUAGGGGACGCGCGUUGUCCGGAUUCAUUGGGCGUAAAGCGCGCGUAGGCGGCUCGGAAAGUCGGGCGUGAAAUGCCGGGGCUCAACCCCGGGACUGCGUCCGAUACUUCCGAGCUGGAGGUAGGUAGGGGAGAUCGGAAUUCCUGGUGUAGCGGUGAAAUGCGCAGAUAUCAGGAGGAACACCGGUGGCGAAGGCGGAUCUCUGGGCCUUACCUGACGCUGAGGCGCGAAAGCUAGGGGAGCGAACAGG
rnacentral:rRNA from 1 species